rnacentral:rRNA from 1 species
GACGAACGCUGGCGGCGUGCUUAACACAUGCAAGUCGAACGGAAAGCCCCUGCUUUUGUGGGGUGCUCGAGUGGCGAACGGGUGAGUAACACGUGAGUAACCUGCCCUUGACUUUGGGAUAACUUCAGGAAACUGGGGCUAAUACCGGAUAGGAGCUCCUGCUGCAUGGUGGGGGUUGGAAAGUUUCGGCGGUUGGGGAUGGACUCGCGGCUUAUCAGCUUGUUGGUGGGGUAGUGGCUUACCAAGGCUUUGACGGGUAGCCGGCCUGAGAGGGUGACCGGCCACAUUGGGACUGAGAUACGGCCCAGACUCCUACGGGAGGCAGCAGUGGGGAAUAUUGCACAAUGGGCGGAAGCCUGAUGCAGCAACGCCGCGUGCGGGAUGACGGCCUUCGGGUUGUAAACCGCUUUCGCCUGUGACGAAGCGUGAGUGACGGUAAUGGGUAAAGAAGCACCGGCCAACUACGUG